CAGGAGCAUCAAGUGUCGCUGGGGAGUUCGAUUAUGGCUCAGAUUGAACGCUGGCGGGAUGCUUUACACAUGCAAGUCGGGCAGCAGCGCAGACUCGGUCUGGUGGCGAGUGGCGAACGGGUGAGUAAUGUAUCGGAACGUGCCUAGUAGCGAGAUAACUACAUGAAAGCGUAGCCUAAUACCGCAUACGCCCUUCGGGGAAAGCGAGGCCUUCCCGGAGCCUCGCACUAUUAAAACGGCCGAUAUCGGAUUAGCUAGUUGGUGGGGUAACGGCUCGCAAGGCGACGAUCCGUAGCUGGUUUGAGGACGACUUAAUACCCUCAGGACUGGACACAGCCCGAACUCUACGGGGCAGCAGUGGGAAUUUUGGACAAUAAGGAAACCUGAUCCAGCCAUCCAUGGCAGUAAUGCGACAGAGGCCUUCCGGGUUGUAAAGCACAGCAGAAAGAAGCGGCAGGAUAAUACCCGUGCCAGCAAUGACACACCACAGAAUAGCUCCGGCUAACUACCGUGCCAGCAGCGCGGUAAUACGUAGGGUGCAAGCGUUAAUCGGAAUUACUGGGCGUAAAGCGUGCGCAGGCAGUUCCGGAAAAAAAUCAUAAUCUGAAGCCAACCUGGAACUGCAUUUUUAACUACCGAGCUAGAAGUGUCAAGAGAGUGGAAUUCCCGCGUGUAGCAGUAAAUGCGUAGAUAUACGGAAGGUACCACCCGCACCAAUAGCGAAACAUGCCUCCUGGAGGAUAACACCGGUAACUCAAUACUUUACGAAAGCGUGGGAGCAAACGGGAUUAGAUACCCUGGUGGUCCACGCCCCUAAACGAUGUCAACUAGCUGUUGGAGCCUUCGGGGAACGCCAAAAUGCCACCCAACUAGCGUGAGAUUGACCGCCUGCGUGCGGUCACAAGAUUAAAAACUCAAAGGAAAUUAAACGGAGACCCACUAAGCAGUGGAUGAUGUGGAUUAAUUCGAUGCAACGCGAAAAAACACCUACCCUUGACAUGUCUGGAAUCCCGAAGAAGAUUUAGAGAUACUCACCAGAAGACGGAACACAGGUGCUACGCCAAGCUGUCGUCAGCUCGUGUCGUGAGAUGUUGGGAUAAGUCCCGCAACAAGCACAACCCUGUCGAUAGAUUGCUACGAAAGGAGCACUCUAAUGAGACUGCCAGUGACAAACCGGAGGAAGGUGAGGAUGACGUCAGAGUCCUCAUGGCCCUUAUGGGUAGGGCUUCACACGUCAUACAAUGGUCGGGACGGAGGUCGCCAACCCGCGAGAGAGCCAAUCCGAAACCCGAUCAUGAGUCAGAUCACCAGUCUGCAACUCGACUGCGUGAAGUCGGAAUCGCUGGUAAUCGCGGAUCAGCAUGUCGCGGUGAAUACGUUCACGGGUCUUGUACACCGCCCGAUCACACCAUGGGAGUGGGUUUACCAGAAGUAGUUAGCCUAACGUAAGGGCGAUUACCACGGUAGGAUUCAUGACCAGGUGGUCGUAACAAGGUAA
rnacentral:rRNA from 1 species